CCUACGGGCGGCAGCAGUGGGGAAUAGUGCGCAAUGGGCGAAAGCCUGACGCAGCGACGCCGCGUGAGGGAUGAAGGUCUUCGGAUCGUAAACCUCUGUCAGCAGGGAAGAACGGUCACGGGGCUAAGCAGCAGUGAAUUGACGGUACCUGCAAAGGAAGCACCGGCUAACUCCGUGCCAGCAGCCGCGGUAAUACGGAGGGUGCGAGCGUUAAGCGGAAUUACUGGGCGUAAAGCGCUCGUAGGCGGUAUGUCAAGUCAAGGGUGAAAUCCCCGCGCUCAACGUGGGAACUGCCUUUGAACCUGGCAACCUGGAGUGUGUGAGAGGUUAGUGGCCUUCC
rnacentral:rRNA from 1 species